UCUUACAGAUUAUAGCCAGUCAGCAACACAGAGUUAUGGGGCCUACCCAACUCCACCCCCACAAGGUUAUU